rnacentral:sRNA from 1 species
AGGAGCGGGCGCCGGGGGCCGGCUGGCGCGGGGGCUCCUACCCUGCCCGGCCUGGCGAUGGAGUUUCCGGACCUCGGCGCUCACUGUUCGGAGCCGAGCUGUCAGCGCUUGGAUUUUCUGCCGCUUAAGUGUGAUGCCUGCUCAGGCAUCUUCUGCGCAGACCAUGUGGCCUACGCCCAGCAUCACUGUGGAUCUGCUUACCAAAAGGUGAGGGGGCGAUCCUCAGGGUGAAAGCAGGCAGAUGGAGAAUGCGUGCAGAAUCCCCCAAAUCUGUGUCUCACGUUUCUUCUCCCUUUUGUCUUUCUGAGGCUGUCAGUGCUGGGAAACACUGUUUUUUUGCGUGUUUGUGGUGGGUCAUAUCCAAGUUCUUUCAAGACCAGAGAUUUGUUGGACUGGAGUGGGCCACAGACUGACCCUUGCUCCUUGACUACAGGAUAUCCAGGUACCUGUGUGCCCUCUCUGUAAUGUGCCUGUGCCUGUGGCCAGAGGGGAGCCCCCUGACCGUGCUGUGGGAGAGCACAUUGACAGAGACUGUCGCUCUGAUCCAGCACAGCAAAAACGU